AUUGAACGCUAGCGGCAGGCCUAACACAUGCAAGUCGAACGAGUGGCGGACGGGUGAGUAAUGUCUGGGAAACUGCCUGACGGAGGGGGAUAACUACUGGAAACGGUAGCUAAUACCGCAUACCAUCGGAUGUGCCCAGAUGGGAUUAGCUAGUAGGUGGGGUAACGGCUCACCUAGGCGACGAUCCCUAGCCGGUCUGAGCGGCUGACGAGCCACGCUGGAACUGGGACACGGUCCAGACUCCUCCGGGAGGCAGCAGGGGCGAAUGUUGCACAAUGGGCGCAAGCCUGAGGCAGCCAUGCCGCGUGUAUGAAGAAGGCCUUCGGGUUGGAAAGUACUGUCGGCGGUGAGGCGUUUCCCGCAGAAGAAGCACCGGCUAACUCCGUGCGAGCAGCCGCGGUAAUAC
rnacentral:rRNA from 1 species